CACUUUCUAUGUUCACAGUUUCGCAAGGUGAAAGUGCAAAAUCUGAUGUUAAUCUAACAAAAAAUCACACUAGACAAAUCCAUUCCACCAACAAAACAAGGAGGUGAGUUUGAUUUCUGCACCACCUGCUUUUUAUCAAUAAUAUUUUAAAUAGCCCUAGAAUUUUUACAAAAAAUAGAGCUCAGCAUAACACAAUCAAAUUAGAGUGUUGUGGCUGGGUUUCUUGCUUUGUUGUUUGCUUUGAGGGUGCCGAUCGGGAACAGAGAGUCGUGGCUGAGUUUUAGCUAACUUGUGGCUCAGUUCUUGUGUCGUUAUCUGCAUUGAGAGUAUUGGCCGCUGUCGGCGUCGGCAUCAGCUUUAGCUGAGUUGUGGCUCAGUUUCUUGUGUCGUUGUCUGCGUUGAGAGUAUUGGCCGGCGUCGGCAUCGGCAUCAGCAACAACUUUCUUAGCUGCUCAUAGUCGGGCUGAGGUGAGAAGAGUGGGUCGACAAUGGGGAACGAUAGUGAGGUCUACGAGAGAACAAGCUGUGUUUUAAGAAAAAAGGGGAAGAAGAAGAAGAAGAGGGAUUUGGGGUUGAGAUUUACUCUUUAUUGCAAAUGUGAAGUAAAGAGAGAGAUGAAGGUGUGAGAGAACGCAUAUGGAGUAUAUUAAUUGUGUGGAUUUUGACUAGGGCUCUAUUUUUAAUUGAAAAUAAUAAUGUAUGGUUGGGCUUGCUCAUGAGUGCAGAUGAUGGUAAAUAAGUAUGAUUGGAGGAAUGGGCCUAGAGUUUUAAUUUAAACUUAUUUUAAUUGAUUAAUUGAAUUUAACUGAUUUAAUAUAAUUAUGUAUAGUUAGUAUUAAUUGUUCUAUUCUAUAUGUAAGUUAGGUUACUUUUGUUUUAUUUUGAGAGCUUUGUCGGACAACUUCGUGGAAGCAACUUGAAAGUUACAAUAAUAACAAGGAUGAAAUAUAUCAGAUAAGACUUUGAAAAACAGAAAGAGGCGUGUUCUCGUUGUUGACACCGGUGGGAGUGUUCCAAUCUCACAAGUGACAGGUUAUGAUUUCUCUUGCUUUUGUUUUAAAUUUCUUUAGAGCUUUUAAUAAUUUAGCAUAUAUUUGAAAAACUGAUUUCUUUUAUAUUAACAAUCGUUUUGUUUUCAUUUGCUCGGCUCUUCUUCUGAAAAUGGUUAAGUUUUCCUUAGCCCAACAAAUGUGAUCCCUAAUUCCAUAUUGUCAAAAGGCUGCUUGCGCCGGUUGGGUUCCGAUGUGACGCAACUGCCUUUGUCUAAUAAUGUUAGUGUUUCACGGUCUAAACGUUUAUGUAAAGCUUGUUGUGGACAGAGGCACUUAAAAGGGCCACACUCUUGAUGCUGUGAUAUUCCAUGAUAAUUAGGUUCAAACAUGUGCUUCAAGAGGGUAAUGUUUACAUGGUGAAAGGAGUCUAUAUUUUUGAUCCAAAGCAAUACAAGAAUCCAAUUGUGACAUGUAAUUACCAAUAGACAUUCAGAAAAGAUACUUUGGUGAAUGAAGAACCAAAUGAUUCGAUACCUGCUGGUGGACUAAGUUUCAGAACAACUCCAAGUUGAGAGUUCCACAAAUUCCUCUCAACAAAGACAUUGAUGAGUUAAGCUAAGCAACUUAAUCAUUGAAGAAUUGCGAAUGAUAUUUCUAUAUUUAUUUUAGCAAUAUUUUGUGUAAGUUUAGGAAAAGAAUUAUUGUACUUAUUAUAUUUUUGAAUGAGAUUAUUUUAGUGUGACUUAAAUGUUAAUUAAUCAUUUUCUUCUCUUACUUAGAUACUGCUUAUGUCAUUAUUGGUACCCAUGAACCUCGGGAAGUCACAGUUAAAGGACAGGGUAAAGUCAUUUGAAGCAAGAGAAUGAAGAGGCCAAUAACAUGUUAGUAUAAACCGGUGGUUUUUUUGAAAAGAAAUUGUUGCGCUCACCCAAGCAACCUUUGCAGAUUACUAAAGUGGAACAAAUGUUGCACAAGAAAGAGAUGAUGUUGAUACACAUGAGAAUUUUGAUGAUGCACAUUUGGAUAUGCCUCUACCAGAUAAAUUUGUGGAGAGAGCAACUGAUUGCAAACUUGUUGAAGAUUCUCAUAUGGAGUCGCAUCUACCUUUGGCACGAGAAAUAGGACCUUAUGGCAAAAACAUCAAAGAAGACUAAAAUAACUCAAGCUAAGGACAAACAUAUAGCUAAGGGUACAAACUAUUGUCAUUAUAUAGACACUUAAUCUUUGAAGUGUUCUUGUAUGAUUGAUGGGAGUUUCUGUGCAACAUUAUUAGCAAAGAAGGCAAAAAAAAAAAAAAAUGAAGUCUAAUAUCUUAAAAGACAAGAUACAAAGCAUAUUUGAUUCAUCCCACGAACUUACUGAAGUGGUUGUCGAGCAUAAUAAAGGCAAAAGAGUCCCACAAACACCAACACUCAAGUCAAGGAGUGGCUGAACAAUCAAGCGAAGAACAUUGGGCUAAUGAAGUGAAAGAUUUUAUGAGACUUUCAAGCAACUUGUGUAUGUACUUUGUACAAUUCUCUAGCUAUGACUUUUGGCUCUAUUACACCGUGUUGGUGAUAUUCUACUAGAAUUUUGAGGUUACCUUUUGCAUGUACAUUGUAUAUGCCUCGAUGCAGUUUUUGGUUUAAUGCGAUAUGUUUAUAUAA